GCAAAGCGGUCCACCUUUCAAAUUGGAUAAACCCUAACAAUGUUAGCUAGAUCAAUAAGUAAACAAGAAUAAGUUUACAGGAGAAAGAAAGGCUGACAAGUGGAUUGCUUUGGUUCACAUGUUUGGGAAUUGUGGGCUGAACACAACAGAUUCAGGCACAGCUUUAUCCAGGGGUUGCAGUGUCAUCAUCAGGACACUGCCUCUCUCCCUCUCCCGACACUGCCUUCUUUGCCCACCCUGACUCUGGGGGUGGUGGCAUGUUGCCAAGCAGCUUUAGAGACACAAUCUUCUAGUUUGGAAUUGGAGGAAAAGACAGUGUCCUAAUGAUGAUAGUGAAAGUCAUGGGCCAGCCUGGGUCACUGCUUCUUUCUGCCCAUCAUGGUGGGAUGGAUUGAUCUCAGUGGUCAAGCCUGGAGGGGCUGAAUCACUGUGUGAGAGAAAGAAAGAGUCACCAAAAAUAUUCAAGUGUAAAUGAUGAGACAGGGAGAUGAAAGCCUAGCAGGCAAGCCACAGAUGUCCCCACUGAAGGGGUGAGAACAGCUGCAUUUAGAACACAGCCUCUUGCAGUAGAGGUGGCUGAUUUUGCCCCUGUGCCUGUCUUUGGUCUUAAGUGCUGCCUGCAGGCUUACUAUUUGCCAGGUGUCCACUGGAUCAUGUGAGCAAUCCCUGAUAUUGUACAAACAGACACCAACUGGCUGCAUAGAGAGAGCAUCCUCAGCUUUCCUGGGUACCUCCAAGUGUCCAGAGUGCAGUACCCAAGCCUGGCUCAGAUUGCCCAGGUCUUAAUCAGUGGAGGCAGUUGUAACUACGACCAUCCACUGUGUGGCUUUGAAACAUCAGAAACUGAUUUCUCACAGAUCUGAAGGCUGGCAGGUCAAGAUCAGGGGGCCAGGAUGGCAGGGCAUGGUGAGGGCCCUCCCUCAGGUUGCAGCUGACCCACUUCUCAUUAUAUCCUCACCCUAUGACUUUUUCACAGCUUCCAAGCCCUCCUUUCCAAUCCUGGGGGAGCUGUGGAGACAACAGUGAGCACAAGGAAGGCCCCUACCCUCUUGGAGCCCACAGUCUAGAAGGAGAGACCGAGAAAGGACAAGUAAACUGAUGAAGAAAUAGGAUGAAUUCAGAAAUGGUUGAGGAAACAGAGGAGACAGAGGGUCAGGUUGUUCCUAGGUGGCAGUUAGAAUGGGCUUUUCAGAGGAAGUGUCAUGAGUGCUGAGAGCUUAUUGAUGGAAAGGAGCUGCUGGCCCAAGAAGUGGGAAGGGCAGCUCAAUGGUGCUCAGGCAGCAAGCAGCUGGCAGCCUCUGAGGGAGCAGGGGUGGAAUGGAGAUAAGUAGGGACAGCCCAGGGACAGAGAGGGAGAGGUGGGCCACCCUAAAUCUGAGUCUACCCUCAAGGCCUUCUGAGGAGGUGUCAGGCAGGGUUUCUGAGCUGUCACCAUCAGACAGCUUCUCUAUAAAGACCCCAAAGCCCCUUGAAGACCAUGCUGUGCUGAGCUUGGAGAGAGGCAGGUUGGGAAGGAGGUGCUGGGUCUGUUUGCCCCAAGCUCUGGUUGCCUGCCCUCAGCAUCCGCCAGCACAGAGUGACAAAGCACACUUCUUCCUCCUCUUGUUUUUUACUUGAUAACUUUUUAUAGAAUUGUUAAGCUCAAAAUUCAGGGGAAGAACAGAGAUUUCCCAAAUGCUCCCAUCCCUGCCCAGCCUCUGCCUCUGUCACCAUCACUACCCACCAGAGAGGCACAUUUGUUCCAGUUCAGAAACCCACAUCAUUGUCACCUAGAGUCUGGAGCGAACCUUAAUCUUUCUUCUUGCUGAUGUACAUUCUGUGGGAAUGGACAGUUGUAGAAUGACAUGAACCCACCUUUGUCCAUGACCAUGAUGUUUACUGGCUGUGAUCUGAGGAAGCAGGUGCGUUGGUCAUCAGGACAGAGCAACCUGAAUCCAUGUGGAGCUUCACUGAUGCAAAGUGCAGUCUCCUCACAGGCCUGAUGGACCUUGCCUUCCUAGGUCAGUAGCCUCAUUGGAAACUUGGGAAUGGUAAAAGUGACACCUACAUUGCAUGGGUGCUAUGAAUCUUUGGGCUUACAUAGGAAGCACUCACUUCCAGGAGGCACCCGUAGGGGUUUGUUGAAUGGGUGAAUAACGGUACUCUCUUCCAGACUUGGUGUGGGACAGCCUGGAUUUGAAUUCCCCCCCCCCCGGCACUUGUAGCUAAGUAUUCUGUGGCAAGUCAUUUCAUCUGACCAUGACUCAGUUUCCUCAUCUCUAGAGGGGGGAUAUACUCAUCACAUUGAGUUACCAGGAAGAGUUGAAGAAACCAUAUCCAUGAGCAUGGGCCAGAAACACAGUGGUUGGUGGUGCUACUAAAACAAAUGUAUGCACACUUCCUAUGCAGCAGCUACUGUCUUCAAUUCUUGAAAGCACCCUCUGCUCCAUCUUCAAAAUGCAGCUGUACCUCUAUCCAGAAUAUUUUUGAGGUCCCAAGACUUGGACAAUCUGAAGCUUCUCAGGACCUUCCUGUUGAUCACUAUGCCUGAAUAAGAGGGGAACUUCCAUGUUUUUCCCCAGCUGAAGAACACAGAUCCUCUCUAGCACCAUAUCAAGUGAUAUAAUUGCCUCCAUCAGCUGUGGCCCAAUUUACUUGCUUACAUUUGGGGGAGCAUAUCAUCACAUUCCCUGUGAAGGAGGAGAAAUAGCCCUCAAAAUCAGAGGUUGGUCCUACACCAGCAUUGACCACACAGGAAGAUAUGGAGCCACCAGUGGCCACUGAACCUUCAAGAAGAGGAUUAAGCUUAGUUGCCAAUAAGCAAGUCAGUGGAUAUUGAACAUUAUCUUCCACUUGGUAUAUAUGUAUGGUACAUAUGGUGCUCCAAGCUGCCAUCCCAUCCUCUGAAAGAGAACCACCUUUCUUGGCAGCAAUAUAAAUUCAGGGUCCAAAACAAUAGAGGCAGGAGGUCAAGAAACUAUUAGGCCACAGCCCUCCACAUCUCCUAGAAUGUAUCCUCACUUCCCUAGUUCUAAACUUUUCAAAGGCAUCUCCCACAUGUGAGCUCCUGAGCAUUACCCAGUGCCAGAACCCCCAGCACAGCUAUCCUUCCCCUCCCCUCUGAGAUUAUCUAUUU